AGAAUAACAGAGUUGGAAGGGACCUCUGGAGGCCAUCUAGUCCAACCCCCUGCCCAGUGGUUCGGGACUAUUUAGAAAAGCUGGACAUGCACAAGUCCAUGGGGCCGGAUGCGCUGCGUCCGAGAGGGCUAAAGGAGUUGGUGGCUGUGAUUGCAGAGCCACUGGCCAUUAUCUUUCAAAACUCGUGGCGAUCGGGGGAAGGCCCGGAUGACUGGAAGAAGGCUAAUGUAGUGCCCAUCUUUAAAAAAGGGAAGAAGGAGGUGUGACAUAGUGGGACUGUUCUUAAUGUUUCCUCUGAAUAGUGUGGGUGGUGCUUCAGUUUCCCCUAGGCAGUUCUUAAGUAUCUAGGGGGUGGGGUAAGGGUGUAUGAUCAUUGCAGAGCCCUGGAGGGCAGGUGUGUGCAGGGGUCUGGACACAGAGAAUGGCCGACACCCUGUUUCCUGGCAACUGGCCCUUCCCUCCUGCAAGGUGAGAGCUAAAGGGUUGGAGAACAAAGGAAUCCGGUGACCUCCUGGCCCGGGAAAGGGACAAAGCCCAGAGGAGGAGGGGCUGGAGGGAGUUUCAGUUUGGGGCUGGCUGGGGACAUGGAGUGAAGGGCAGACGUGAAUGUCUGGCUCACUGCCCCCCAAAAUGGACCCGGCUGAGGGGUCCUGUUCUCUGCACCUGCAAGCUCUGUUUUAGACCAUGUUCCUGUCGUCUAAUAAACCUUCUGUUUUA